AAAUAGCCCUGAUCAAAACGGCAUCCUUUUUUAUUUUUCAGCUCGGGAAAUGCACGGCGGAAAAUAAAAAAGAUAAAGGACUUCGAUAAGCUCAGGAUAAAUU
rnacentral:sRNA from 1 species